ensembl:lncRNA
GAAAAACAGACUAGAAAAAAGGACCCAACCUGCAAGGAAAAGAUAAAGAGAAAAAAAAGCAGGGAGAGGUGAACAAGGCCAAAAGAACGUAAACCAAAGAAGUAAACUCUGCAAAUCUUGAUGAAUACAACUCCACUGGAUGUUGCAGCCAGUCACGGUUCUGGUGAACUUUUACUCACACCGCUUUGAAAUUGUUGAAAAUGGACUAAGAAAUCAUCUGUUGCUGGAUAAUACCCAGUUGUUUAUUUAUACACAUUAAGUAGAUAUCGUUUACAGAUGUAUAUAUCUGGACACUGCAUUGCAUGAUGGUUUGGACUCACUUUCUUGCUACCUUUGACCUUGUCUGUACAAAUCAUACUUCACAAUGUCAUCUGAUGUGAAUGUACAUAGGAAGAAUGAAGUUUUUUGGGUAGCAGAAUAUCAGUUUCAUUCAGCACAGAUGAGAAUUCUGUUCUCUCAUUUAAAUACCUCAUAAUGAGACACUCUGAGGAAGCAAGAGGAAAAUAAGUCAGUGUCUGUAAGCUAUUAGCCAGAGACUGCUUUAUGUACAAUGUACAGAAAUUGUAAGGAAAUGCAAUGUAUUUGGAAUACUUUUACUGCAGUUAAGAGAUUUUAAGUUCUCUAUGUAAUUCUGAAAAAAUGUCUGCAGAGGCCCAAAGAUACAGAAUGUUUAUAUAUCACUAUUGAUAAAAGGAUACUUAAAAAAGAAAACCAAGAACUUUUCAAAGAUCAACAAAGACACCUGAAAUCAAUAACAACCAAUUAAUGAUACCUAAUAUAUAUAUUAUAAUAUAUAUAUUUAUAUUAUAUUAUUAUUAUUAUUAUAUUAUAUAUAUAUUAUAUUUUAUAUAUAUAUAUAUAAAAGCAAUACAGAAUGGAAAUAAAAUACAGUUAAUACACCCAAAAUUGUAAACUUGUUUUAAGAAGUGCCUUUCUCAUUACAUCUGAAUGUGAUUUUCCAGAUAGAGGCAUUGUAAUAUGACCCCUUGUGCUGUUCUGUGUGUACAAUAAAGCAAGCAAAAUUAAUCCCUUCCCCUGAUGACCUCUAGAAAUGAAAACCCAUUAUAGUAAUAAUAUUUGUACUUAGGCCUUGAUGUUUUUGUACUGAAUCUGAAUGCCAUGAAAUGACUGUAUACAGUGGCUGAUGAGGACACGUGUACAGAUAAUUACAUAAAUAAUCCUCUUUAUAUAGGUGCAAGGUGACUUUUUAGAUCUGGUGUGGAAACUAGUCGAAGCCUAAUAAAACUUGUAAUCAUUUUCUUUACUGCUAAGGCCUGAAUCUUAUUAUGUUGAAAGGUCUAUUAGGAAUGUUUCCCUUUUUAACAUGGAAUGUAUGUAACUAGAUCUUGUGCACAAUUUUCCUGUUUGUAAAACUUGA